ACUAUAUAUAGUGAUCAAACCACUUUAUAUAUUUUACAUGCAAAGGUUAAAAAAUGGGUGAAACUCUCAAGUUUGUUUAUACUAUGAUCCUUUUUAUUUCUUUAUUGCUCGUUGUAGCCGUUGAUAGCCAAAGACCAAUAAGAGAAAGAAUAAGCUGCACUCAUGACUAUGAGUGCAUAAACAAGUGUCCUCAUUGUGAUUUAAAUUCAAGACUACACUGCGUUAGAGGUUUUUGCGGUUGCAGACCAUAAAGCCGUUAUAACUAUCCUCAAGACAAGACUCAGUUGUAGUAUCGAGGUGUUUGUUCACGAGAAUAAAGUGGAGGAUUAUUCUCUCUCCUAUGUUAUGGUGUUCUUUAAAGUUUGUUGGAUUAUUUUGUAUGUUUAAAUUGUGUUGCAAGGCUCUGAUAUUUUUACAUCAGGGCCGAGUUUAAUAAUAUGUUCUUGAGAAAAUAUUAUAUAUGUCAUUUCGUUAUGAGGAUAAUUGUAAGACACUAUAAUGUGAAAAUAUUUUAUUUUCAA